AGAGUUUGAUCCUGGCUCAGGAUGAACGCUAGCGGCAGGCCUAAUACAUGCAAGUCGAACGGUGUAGCAAUACAUAGUGGCGCACGGGUGCGUAACACGUAUGCAACCUACCUUAUACUGGGGGAUAGCCUUUGGAAACGGAGAUUAAUACCCCAUAGUACAUUUGAUUGGCAUCAAUUAAAUGUUAAAGAUUUAUCGGUAUAAGCUGGGCAUGCGUCCAAUUAGUUAGUUGGUGAGGUAAUGGCUCACCAAGACUUUGAUUGGUAGGGGAACUGAGAGGUUAAUCCCCCACACUGGCACUGAGAUACGGGCCAGACUCCUACGGGAGGCAGCAGUAGGGAAUAUUGGGCAAUGGAGGCAACUCUGACCCAGCCAUGCCGCGUGCAGGAAGAAGGCGUUAUGCGUUGUAAACUGCUUUUAUAUAGGAAGAAAUAGUCCUUGCGAGGAAAGUUGACGGUACUAUAUGAAUAAGCACCGGCUAACUCCGUGCCAGCAGCCGCGGUAAUACGGAGGGUGCAAGCGUUGUCCGGAUUUAUUGGGUUUAAAGGGUGCGUAGGCGGUUUAUUAAGUCAGUGGUGAAAGACGGUCGCUCAACGAUUGCAGUGCCAUUGAUACUGGU
rnacentral:rRNA from 1 species